CUACGGGGUGCAGCAGUGGGGAAUAUUGGACAAUGGGCGCAAGCCUGAUCCAGCAAUGCCGCGUGAGUGAAGACGGCCUUAGGGUUGUAAAACUCUUUCGCUAGGGAAGAUAAUGACUGUACCUAGUAAAGAAGUCCCGGCUAACUCCGUGCCAGCAGCCGCGGUAAUACGGAGGGGACUAGCGUUGUUCGGAAUUACUGGGCGUAAAGAGUUCAUAGGCGGACUGACAAGUUAGAGGUGAAAUCCCAGGGCUCAACCCUGGAACUGCCUUUAAAACUGUCAGUCUAGAGACCGGAAGAGGUUAGGGGAAUACCUAGUGUAGAGGUGAAAUUCGUAGAUAUUAGGUGGAACACCAGUGGCGAAGGCGCCUAACUGGUCCGGUACUGACGCUGAGGUGCGAAAGCGUGGGGAGCAAACAGGAUUAGAUACCCCCGUAGUC
rnacentral:rRNA from 1 species